rnacentral:rRNA from 1 species
CUACGGAGGGUGCAAGCGUUACUCGGAAUUACUGGGCGUAAAGGACGCGUAGGCGGUUUAGAAAGUCAGAUGUGAAAGCCUAUGGCUUAACCAUAGAACUGCAUUUGAAACUUCCAAACUAGAGUGGGGGAGAGGUCAGUGGAAUUAGUGGUGUAGGGGUAAAAUCCGUAGAGAUCACUAGGAAUACUCAUUGCGAAGGCGACUGACUGGAACUUAUCUGACGCUGAGGCGUGAAAGCGUGGGGAGCAAACAGGAUUAGAAACCCCAGUAGUCC